UUUGAACCGUAAGCGAACGGUAAAUGAUUCAAUAAUCAAACUUUAAUUCCACUUAAUAAACACAAUUAAACCGAAUAAAUUAGAUUUUCGUCUGGCGGCGACGACGAAACAAGUGCCGGUAAAGAGGAGUAGUAGAAGCGCAGAUUGAUGAAGAUCCUUCAUCGUCGAGAAUUCGACGAACCGUGUGGACUCAUCGAGUCCUAUCUAGUUGAUUCGAUGGGACGUCAGACGCGUGACCGAUUCAUAUGCAGAACAGGAACGGAAAGGACUCAGAAGUAGUAGUAGCGUUGGGAUAGGGCUUUGUACCGAGGCACACAGGACGAGACGAGACGAGUACGAGGAGCAAGUGAAGUGAAGUAAGCGAUGAGAAUGAUGAUGAAAGUUGCGAGAAUGUGAACGAAUUCAAUGAAAACUUUAAACACACAUUCGUUGUAAUUGAGUCAAAAUAUUAAAGACCAAGAAGCAGAAGCAAAAAUCGAGUGAUUCACAAUACGCCAUCGACCAACCACAAACCACAUCCGGUUUUGGUGAACAACAGACAUUGAGCAGUAGUGGUUUUGGACCAAAGUAACGGGCGCCUCUCACGACGAUAUCGAAGCGUGCGGCAUAACGAAAAGCACUACCAUAACAUUAUCUUUAAAGUGCGGCAGCGGCGGCGGUAGCAUCCUAAUCUCAGGACAUGUGCACGAAAACCCACUAUUUGGAGAACCCACGCAGUGUUAUUAUAUAUUACGGCAGAAAUAUAAAUACCAAAGACAAAACACAUAAACCACACACUCGAGAGAUAGCGGUCUUUAGUGCGACCAGCUGAGCAUAAAUACGAAGUGCACUAGCUUCAGCUCAAGAUGAGAGUAGCAGUGUAAGAGUAACCAUUAAAGUAAAACGG